rnacentral:rRNA from 1 species
GAAAACAUCUGCGCAAUCGCGCGCAACGCGCGACGACCGGGAUCCAAGUGCAUGCACUAAAGAAAAAAGGUUUUAAAGUUUAAAACGCUUUUAGAGCAAGGGGGGGGUAAGACUGGUGCCAGCCGCCGCGGUAAUACCAGCGGCCCUAGUGGUGAUCGUUAUUUUUGGGCCUAAAGCGUCCGUAGCCGGUUCGGUAAAUCUCUGGGUAAAUCGAUGGGCUUAACUCAUCGAAUUCUGGGGAGACUGCUGGACUUGGGACCGGGAAAGGUCGGAGGUACUCCAGGGGUAGGGGGAAACCUGUAACCCUGGGGGGACCACCGGUGGGGAAGGCGUCCGACCAAAAAGGGUCCGACGGUAGGGACAAACCCUGGGGCGCAAACCGGAUAAAAACCCGGGUAGUCCGGGUGUAAACGCUGCGCGCUUGGGGUUGGGGGUCUUACGUGGGCACCCAGUGCCGGAGAAAAGUUGUUAAGCGCCCCCCCUGGAAAGUACGGUCGCAAGACUGAAACUUAAAGGAUUUGGGGGGGGAAAGGGCAAUUCUUUAAACCUGCGGACUAGUCCUUUAGGGAGGGUUAUUUCUGAGCUUGGGGAAAUCAUGGCAAAGUUGUUUCUGGAA